UACAGAGGUCCCAAGCGUUGUUCGGAAUUACUGGGCGUAAAGGGCGCGUAGGCGGCCUUCUAAGUCGAACGUGAAAUCCCCGGGCUCAACCCGGGAACUGCGUCCGAUACUGGAAGGCUUGAAUUCGGGAGAGGGAUGCGGAAUUCCAGGUGUAGCGGUGAAAUGCGUAGAUAUCUGGAGGAACACCGGUGGCGAAGGCGGCAUCCUGGACCGGCAUUGACGCUGAGGCGCGAAAGCCAGGGGAGCAAACGGG
rnacentral:rRNA from 1 species